rnacentral:rRNA from 1 species
CGGAGGAUCCAAGCGUUAUCCGGAUUCAUUGGGUUUAAAGGGUGCGUAGGCGGAAUGAUAAGUCAGUGGUGAAAGCCUGCAGCUUAACUGCAGAACUGCCAUUGAUACUGUCAAUCUUGAGUACAUUUGAUGAGGGCGGAAUGUGUCAUGUAGCGGUGAAAUGCUUAGAUAUGACACAGAACACCGAUUGCGAAGGCAGCUCUCAAGACUGUAACUGACGCUGAGGCACGAAAGCGUGGGUAUCAAACAGGAUUAGAUACCCUGGUAGUCCACGCUGUAAACUAUGAUUACUCGAUGUUUGCGAUAUACUGUAAGCGUCUAAGCGAAAGCGAUAAGUAAUCCACCUGGGGAGUACGCUCGCAAGAGUG